AUUGAACGCUGGCGGCAUGCUUUACACAUGCAAGUCGAACGGUAACAGGCCGCAAGGUGCUGACGAGUGGCGAACGGGUGAGUAAUGCAUCGGAACGUGCCCAGUCGUGGGGGAUAACGCAGCGAAAGCUGUGCUAAUACCGCAUACGAUCUAUGGAUGAAAGCGGGGGACCGUAAGGCCUCGCGCGAUUGGAGCGGCCGAUGUCAGAUUAGGUAGUUGGUGGGGUAAAGGCUCACCAAGCCAACGAUCUGUAGCUGGUCUGAGAGGACGACCAGCCACACUGGGACUGGGACACGGCCCAGACUACUACGGGAGGCAGCAGUGGGGAAUUUUGGACAAUGGGCGCAAGCCUGAUCCAGCAAUGCCGCGUGCAGGAAGAAGGCCUUCGGGUUGUAAAUUGCUUUUGUACGGAACGAAACGGUCCUGGUUAAUACCCGGGGCUAAUGACGGUACCGUAAGAAUAAGCACCGGCUAACUACGUGCCAGCCGCCGCAGUAAAAC
rnacentral:rRNA from 1 species